AUUGAACGCUGGCGGCAUGCCUUACACAUGCAAGUCGAACGGCAGCGGGGGAGAAGCUUGCUUUUCCUGCCGGCGAGUGGCGAACGGGUGAGUAAUACAUCGGAACGUGCCCUGUAGUGGGGGAUAACUAGUCGAAAGAUUAGCUAAUACCGCAUACGACCUGAGGGUGAAAGUGGGGGACCGCAAGGCCUCAUGCUAUAGGAGCGGCCGAUGUCUGAUUAGCUAGUUGGGGGGGUAAAGGCCUACCAAGGCGACGAUCAGUAGCUGGUCUGGGGGGAAGAUCAGCCACACGGGGACUGAGACACGGCCCAGACUCCUACGGGAGGCAGCAGUGGGGAAUUUUGGACAAUGGGCGAAAGCCUGAUCCAGCAAUGCCGCGUGUGUGAAGAAGGCCUUCGGGUUGUAAAGCACUUUUGUCCGGAAAGAAAUGGCUCUGGUUAAUACCUGGGGUCGAUGACGGUACCGGAAGAAUAAGGACCGGCUAACUACGUGCCAGCAGCCGCCGUAA
rnacentral:rRNA from 1 species